rnacentral:tRNA from 1 species
GAUCCCGUAGCUCAGCCUGGUUAGAGCGCUGCUCUGAUAAGGCAGAGGUCCUGGGUUCGAAUCCCAGCGGGAUCA